rnacentral:lncRNA from 1 species
CCCGUUUUCCCAACAUAAAAAUUCUUAAAAACAUUUAUCAGAGUAAGCAUCAUAAACAACGGGAUAUCACAUAAAACUUAAUCCAAAACAGUCAAAUAAUAAUUUAACCAAUAUCUUAAACAUUGCAGCGGAAAUUCAUAAAACGUUUUGGCACGCAGGCCCCAUCAAAAGUUCAUAAUCAUAAUCCAUAACAUUAUAAAAAUAACAUAUUAGUCACGUAAGAGAAUGAAGCAUGCAUAAACAUAAACCCCAUCCCGUUACGUAUCAGAGCGACCUAGACGACACAGUGAAGGCAAGGCCACUCACGACGGCAACUGCACACUAAGCACGAUCACCUGCAAGUUACCCAUACGAAGGGCAACAUUUUCAAGCAGAAGGGGUGAGAUUUCAUAAUACAAUAACAUUAAUCAAUGUAAUUGAGAAUCAUAAAUUAACAUCAUAUUCAUUCCAUUACU